rnacentral:lncRNA from 1 species
CCCCAACCCGGGACCCCGGGCAGAGCUGUGGUGUGGGGUGGGCAGUGCAGUGACACCCCCCUUGCCCCCUUAUCGGCUGUUAGACCCGGGGAGGGGCGGGGGGGGAACUUUCUCCUUUCCUUUCUGCUCUCUGUGCUCCCGGUGUUUGCAAUCAGCGUUUUUUCAGGGGCCGGAUCGAUACCCCUCUCUCUGCCAGAACGUCAGCCCCGCCGGGGUCACCGCCCCCCCGGGGGUGUGUGGNNNNNNNNNNGCCGGGGUCACCGCCUCCCCGCCCCCCCGGGGGUGUGUGGGGCUGGGGGAUCCCCGGUUGGCUACUGCGAGCCCUGGGUUGGCUACUGCGAGCCCCGGCUGCUCGCCUCCGAGCCCAGCUUGGAGGGUAGGGGAGUGGAGAGCCGGUGGGGGUUCGGGGGGGUUGGGGGGUGGCUCCGGCAGCCCCCCCUCCGCCCCCUUUCCCUGGGCGCGCAGCAGCAUCACCCCUACCGAGGCUUAAAUUUGGGGUAUCCCUCCCGUGGGAUUAAACCCAAGCCAAAACCGACGGCGNNNNNNNNNNCCCGCCGCGAAGUCCUGCAGCUGGAAGCUGCCCAUGCUGCGCCGCCGAGCCCGUCCCGUCGGAGGGGUAGCGGGUCCCCACCGGGCCGGGGAGGGGACACACACACAGCUCCGGUCAAGGGGUUUCCACCGGAAAUGCGCAAGGAAGAUGGAUUAGGGACUAUGAAGACACCAGAAACAGGCAUGGAGAGCUCCACUAUCACUGGCUGCAAAAGCUCAUCUCUGCCCUUCCUUGUUGAAGACCUGGGUAGGUUUUACUGGAGAAACAGUGUCCCAGGAAGUAUUAGGCAGAGGGAAACCCUCUGGUCUUUUCAUCAGCCAUUUGUGUAUGGUGUUAUAUAGGGAACACCUCUAACAAGUGCCUGAAGCAGCUGAAGUCCCAUGAGAAGAUAUGUCUCCAGACCUACAAGCAAGGCUCAGAUGAUGAAAUUGCAUAAUGCUGGAGCAGACCUCCUGGGACAGGCCACUCUCAGUGUAGAGAGACCAGGAGAUUCCCAGUUACAUCCAGCGUAUCCUCCCGAAUCACAGCCUGGCUGAGCACCAGCCAGCAGUCAGGGGAAAUGUCCCACGAGCAAGCCCCUAGAACCACCCAAGAUGCUCAC